rnacentral:misc_RNA from 1 species
CUGAUUUAGCGAACCGAGCGUUAGCGAGGUUUUGCGAUCAUUCUUAUAUUUAAAACCCACUCUUUGAAAUAAAAAAUUUUUAUGUAUUAUCAUAAAUAAAGA